CGCACGGGUGAGUAACGCGUAUGCAACUUGCCUAUCAGAGGGGGAUAACCCGGCGAAAGUCGGACUAAUACCGCAUGAAGCAGGGAUCCCGCAUGGGAAUAUUUGCUAAAGAUUCAUCGCUGAUAGAUAGGCAUGCGUUCCAUUAGGCAGUUGGCGGGGUAACGGCCCACCAAACCGACGAUGGAUAGGGGUUCUGAGAGGAAGGUCCCCCACAUUGGUACUGAGACACGGACCAA
rnacentral:rRNA from 1 species